GCGAACAGACGAGGAGCUUGCUCCUCUGACGUUAGCGGCGGACGGGUGAGUAACACGUGGAUAACCUACCUAUAAGACUGGGAUAACUUCGGGAAACCGGAGCUAAUACCGGAUAAUAUAUUGAACCGCAUGGUUCAAUAGUGAAAGACGGUUUUGCUGUCACUUAUAGAUGGAUCCGCGCCGCAUUAGCUAGUUGGUAAGGUAACGGCUUACCAAGGCGACGAUGCGUAGCCGACCUGAGAGGGUGAUCGGCCACACUGGAACUGAGACACGGUCCAGACUCCUACGGGAGGCAGCAGUAGGGAAUCUUCCGCAAUGGGCGAAAGCCUGACGGAGCAACGCCGCAUGAGUGAUGAAGGUCUUCGGAUCGUAAAACUCUGUUAUUAGGGAAGAACAAAUGUGUAAGUAACUAUGCACGUCUUGACGGUACCUAAUCAGAAAGCCACGGCUAACUACGUGCCAGCAGCCGCGGUAAUACGUAGGUGGCAAGCGUUAUCCGGAAUUAUUGGGCGUAAAGCGCGCGUAGGCGGUUUUUUAAGUCUGAUGUGAAAGCCCACGGCUCAACCGUGGAGGGUCAUUGGAAACUGGAAAACUUGAGUGCAGAAGAGGAAAGUGGAAUUCCAUGUGUAGCGGUGAAAUGCGCAGAGAUAUGGAGGAACACCAGUGGCGAAGGCGACUUUCUGGUCUGUAACUGACGCUGAUGUGCGAAAGCGUGGGGAUCAAACAGGAUUAGAUACCCUGGUAGUCCACGCCGUAAACGAUGAGUGCUAAGUGUUAGGGGGUUUCCGCCCCUUAGUGCUGCAGCUAACGCAUUAA
rnacentral:rRNA from 1 species